UGGCGCACAGGCGCAGCUUCAGCUUAGACCGCAUCUCGUUCCACGGUGACUGACCGGAAGCUUGGAAUGAUAGAAAAAACAUGAACGUGAGUUAACAAACUUUCAAGGCAGCGUGCAAACAAACCUUCCUCCCUCCCUUUUCUUGUCUGUUUCCAUGAAUGGUGACCCAAAGCAAACAGUUACAAAGGAAUCACUUCAGGAACAUUCUGUGCAUGUUCUGGAAUUGCCCAGAGGGAACUGGCAUGUAAAUCCAACUGAACGUCUCUGGAAAGCCCUAAUGACGUUGUCGACUGAUGUCGGCCACACAGCUGGACAACUUGAGAGGAUCUACAGAGAAGAAAGGAAAAAAUACUCCAAAACAGGAGGGUCAAGCAUACCCAAGAAGAUGUGAGGCUGUCGUUGCUGCCAAAGGUCUGUGUAAAGAGAACGUGACCAGAGCACACAGCCAGAUGCUAAUUUGGCUGCAAGUCCAACGCUCCUGCCGACUGUUCGGACACUUAGAAGCAAAGUAAGAGAGACGUGUCCGGGAGAUGGCGCCGAGAAAAUGAGGUCUGGCUUGAAGGUUUAUGUCCUGCCACCGUCAGGAGGAAACGUGAGCCGAGGAUUCGGCUGGCCUUUUAUUGUAAAUGCGCUCCCUCUAGAUGGACUUAAAGUGUCUGUUUUCCUGGCUAUUGGAGACGAAUUAAAUAUGAAGAGUAUCAGUAAAUGGGCAGGAAGACUCCAAACGAGUGCUCAGGGACAGUUUCCCAUUAUUGUCAUCUAUUAUCUUGGACAGUUAGGGAUAUUGUCCGGUCUGUCGUCAGCUGCUAUUGCGCUGUGCAUCGCCGUGGCAGGUGCGCAGGUUAUGGGGUUAUGUGAAAACAAAGUGGAGCAUUUGACCAUUAAAUGGAUUAUUUGCACCUACUUUGCACCACAAUAACAGAUAGGGACAGUCAUAAUUAAUGCAUAAGGCGAGACAAUAUACAAGAAAGCAAGACUGAGUUCAAGAGAGCUUCCAAAUGGUGAUUGUAAAAAAAAAAAAAAACAACAAACUGAGCUACUUAUAAAUAGUAAUGCAGCUGAAAUACAGUUGUUAAAUAGUAAACAAAUAUUCUUCUUUAUAAGCUCUGACUUCUGACCAGUAGGUCACAGUGAGACAUGCAAUCUUUUUAUGAAUAGUGUCAUUCAGAGAACAGACUACAUGUAAGCACAAAGAGGGUCUUCAGUGCAGAUGCUGAGACCAAUUAAAGAAGAUGUAAGGUGUGGAUCCCCGUUCUCUGGGGCCAUAGUUGGUACAAGUAUGAAAUGUUUAGUUGUACUCAGAAGAAACUUUGGCUCCAUCAUCGUUCCAUUUAUCACAGGACACAGACACACAGGACGCCAAUUCAAGUUGAAAAACUCAGUGAGGUUUGAUAUUUGGUCUGUUAGGACUGUAACUUUUAACAUUUUAAUUCAAAAGGCAGCCAUAUUGUGCUUUUUCCUUUUAUCAUGCUUGGUGAGAAACUGCUGACUUUCCCAGACAGAGGUUUGAGUUUUUGAUCAUUUUUCUGACUUGAAACUUGAAAGUUUCAACUUUCGAGUAAAAAUAGAGUGCAGAAUUCAGUCAUUCUUUUACUAAUCAAUAUCCAUAAGAACAAUUUUUAAAAAUACAUUUCUGACAUACAGCAAACAAACGGAAAAAGUGCACAUCUUGUUGCCGUAUGGAUAAUCCUGUGAUACUACCAAAACAUAGUCAGUUGAUUUGAAAACUGCUAAUUGCUGUUAAUUCUGCUAAAAAUACUAACAAAGCACUUUUUAACAGCAACUGCUGUCUUCAGGAUGUGUUUGGAUCUUACCUCUCUUUCUAAUACAAAUUAUUAUAGUU